rnacentral:rRNA from 1 species
UACGUAGGUGACAAGCGUUGUCCGGAUUUACUGGGCGUAAAGAGCGCGCAGGCGGUCGUUCAAGUCGAGUGUGAAAGCCCCCGGCUCAACUGGGGAGGGUCACUCGAUACUGAUCGACUUGAAGGCAGGAGAGGGAAGCGGAAUUCCCGGUGUAGUGGUGAAAUGCGUAGAUAUCGGGAGGAACACCAGUGGCGAAGGCGGCUUCCUGGCCUGCUCUUGACGCUGAGGCGCGAAAGCUAGGGGAGCAAACGGG